GUUUCUGUAGUGUAGUGGUUAUCACAUUUGCCUAAUACACAAAAGAUCCUUGGUUCAAAGCCAGGCAGAAAUA